GGUUGUAGCUCAGUGGUAGAGCACUUGCCUAGCAUGUGUGAGGCACUGAGUUCAAUCCCCGACACCA
rnacentral:tRNA from 1 species